rfam:Brassica napus, WGS project CCCW01000000 data, contig: 1938
AAACCAUGGUGUGGGCGUUCAAGUUGGUAACUCCGGAAUCUUCCCCAAGCAUCCUUGAAGGGUUCACGGGCACCUUGCGAGAAUUUUGAAAUAUUUUUUCUCGCUU